UUGGUUCUUGGUAUGAUGGUCACCUAUUUUCAUCUUUAUUUAUUUUUAUUUUUUCUUCUUUUCCCUAUCUUUGUCCUAUACUGGUUCUUUUAAACUCUCAGUCCACCAGGAUGCCCUCAUUUUUUCCUAAGUAGUCUUCUUGGUGUUCAACUUAGUGGGUUUUUCCCUUCUUUUUCUACUGAUUAUGACUUCCAUGUCAUU
rnacentral:lncRNA from 1 species